rnacentral:hammerhead_ribozyme from 12 species
CAGAUGUCUAAGGCAGAGACGCAGAGAGCACAUCUUCAGCCUUACUGAUGAGUCCAGGCGUGCUCUCGAGACGAAACAUCUU